AGUGAACGCUGGCGGUAGGCCUAACACAUGCAAGUCGAACGGCAGCACAGGAGAGCUUGCUCUCUGGGUGGCGAGUGGCGGACGGGUGAGGAAUACAUCGGAAUCUACUCUGUCGUGGGGGAUAACGUAGGGAAACUUACGCUAAUACCGCAUACGACCUACGGGUGAAAGCAGGGGACCUUCGGGCCUUGCGCGAUUGAAUGAGCCGAUGUCGGAUUAGCUAGUUGGCGGGGUAAAGGCCCACCAAGGCGACGAUCCGUAGCUGGUCUGAGAGGAGGAGCAGCCACACUGGAACGGAGACACGGUCCAGACUCCUACGGGAGGCAGCAGUGGGGAAUAUUGGACAAUGGGCGCAAGCCUGAUCCAGCCAUACCGCGUGGGUGAAGAAGGCCUUCGGGUUGUAAAGCCCUUUUGUUGGGAAAGAAAUCCAGCUGGCUAAUACCCGGUUGGGAUGACGGUACCCAAAGAAUAAGCACCGGCUAACUUCGUGCCAGCCGCCACGGUAA
rnacentral:rRNA from 1 species